UGGCAGUUCGAAUCCCCAUGACGGGGUGAGCUCCCGUUGCUCGGUCCCAGCUCCUGCCAACCUAGCAGUUUGAAAGCACGUCAAAGUGCAAGUAGAUAAAUAGGUACUGCUCCGGUGGGAAGGUAAAUGGCGUUUCCGUGCGCUGCUCUGGUUCGCCAGAAGUGGCUUAGGCAUGCUGGCCACAUGACCCAGAAGCUGUACGCCGGCUCCCUCGGUCAAUAAAGCGAGAUGAGCGCCGCAACCCCAGAGUCGUCCGCGACUGGACCUAACAGUCAGAGGUCCCUUUAACUUUACACUAGUUCCUAGCCCACUCUGACAUGGCCCUUGGCCUACUCUGCUGAUUUAAGGGCCAUGAUAAAAGUUUUCAUCAAAGGGUACAUUCUGCUCAACCAGCUGGGCUGAUCCACACUGGCUGCAGGCUGGCAGUAAGUCAUCUUCUCCAUCGCACCCAUUGCAUAUAGUGGACAUAAAGUCGGUCUGAACCAGAUAAAUUCCCCUCUGACUUGCCUCCAUAAAUCACAGGCUUCUGGAUUGCUCCCACUGGAAGGGUCUGCCUCCAGGGUGCAUCAGGUGCAAAGCCUUCAUGAUGUGCACAGGAGCUACCUGCUUUUUGCCCAGGUUACUAGGCUGUGUUCCUUCAAGCCCAUUCGCUUUUAGUGCAGGCUGUACUUUCUCAUGCUUGGCUUGGCUUCCUGCUGUUUCCUGCUCCUUUUCCUUGCUGUCACUGCCUGUUCAUCUGCCCUCUCAAAGCGUGUGACCAGUGACAAGAGCAAAGAAAAGGCCCAGCAGCCUUUACCAGUGGUGGGAAUUUGGCUAAGAGGGGCUAGCAAAUGAGCAGUAGUGACAGAGGCAAUAUUCUACAUCUGGCACACAUCAGAUUCAUAUAAAUGUUGCGUGUUAUUAAAGGUUAAUUAGAAACAUGGAAGUUUUCAUAGAAUAAUAAAAAAUAAUUCAAUUAAGAAUAACUACUCAUGAGGCAUCCCAAAGUGCUAGAAACAUACAUAAAACUAAAAACAGCUAAAACAUCUGCAUAUAUAAAUACAAUUAAAAACCAAUACACACAUACACAACUUAAACCCUCCAACAUACAUAAAACCAAUUCAAAUCCAUUACAGAUACCACUAGGAUAAAAGUACGCUUUGAAGGCUCCUUGAAAAAAGCCUUAAAGCAGGAUUCCUCAAACUUGGCACUCCAGAUGUUUUGACACUACAAUUCCCAUCAUGCCUGACCACUGGUCCUGCUAGCUUGGGAUCAUGGGAGUUUUAGGCCAUAAUAUCUGGAGAGCCUUUGAGGAAGCCUGCCUUAAAGGAACAUUUAAGUGUCUGAGUGGGCUACAUUUUCACUUUGAGCUAUAGCUUAUCUUUUAAUGACACACUAAAAUUGUUCUUUCCCUGCUGAAGAUCAUAGUUCAGUUUUUUCCCUCCAUUUUGACAAUUUAUGAAUUUUGAUGUUUUUUACAGCACAGGAAUAAAAUGGACGGUCUUUGCAUGCCUUACAUUUUCACCAGCCAAAGACUACGAUCCUGUGGAACAGUUACCUUAUUGUGAAAGUUCCCACUGAUUUGGCAAGUCCGCUUGGCUGUUGCUGUGGCAACUUGAGGCCUAAAAAUAUUGCAUGUUGUUAUAUAGUUCAGCUGCGGCAUUUCCUAGCCACAAAUUACACUUGCUUGAAGUGCUGGUUUGCAGAAUGAUGGUAACCCAUUAGUAAACCACCACACAUCCAAGCUACACUGCCCAAAUUGGGUUUUACAACCUAGACUCAUGAAUCUUUCUAG